AUAUAAUGUUAGCGUUAGCUUAUCUCAUUACUUAACGUUUGCAUAUACUCACUACUUGAGACGACCAACGUUAACGUGGCAUUUUUCAACGUAAGAAAAUGACCGUGGCGCCGUUGCUCGAUGAACUCCGUGGCUCUUGUUCUUUGCACACGCCCCUUUCGGUGCAGUCGCUCGAGUUGACGUCCUCCUGGGUGAGGCUCUGCGGCGGUGCUGUGGCAGCAUAAAUUACCGAAAUGAAAGCUGCUCCCAUGGCGGGUCCACAGCAGUCGGCAAAAACGUGGCCUCCCCUGCACGUGUUCGCCAUGCCUUUGACACUGUGCUGUGGAUUCUUCUCCAUGGCAACCGUCCAGAGGAGAGCGGGGGGGAAAAAACCUUCCACCCACACCACAAAUGUACAGGAAGAACAGCCCACGUUGAGAUGCUCUACCCUGCAGUCUACGACCAUUCAUGAAGUGGAUACAAAGGUGUAGCUUAUAUGGAUUUCUCUAGCUUAGAAAAAUGAGCGAUUGUGUGUGUAUUGUAUUCGAGCAACACAGAAUUGCUUCCUCUUUACUGGAAUUUGUUUUUCUCCUGAUGUGGCCGGGCGCUGAUCAGUUGUAAAGUUGUACGGAUCUGCAGGCGUGUAAUAAAGGGGUAGUGACACUAAACAUUUGUUGAGUUGAAAACCACAAUCAUUUUCACAGAAGGGCUGCUGCCAUUAGUUUAGGGAUCAC
ensembl:lncRNA